rnacentral:ncRNA from 1 species
UAAAUUGAGAGUUUGAUCCUGGCUCAGGACGAACGCUGGCGGCGUGCUUAACACAUGCAAGUCGAGCGAGAGAGUUUUCUUCGGGAAAUAAUCUAGCGGCGGACGGGUGAGUAACACGUGGGUGGUCUUAUGUCAAUAUUUUGGACACAAAAAGUCAAACUUUUUCAUGCUGCACUUCUAGCUAAUAAUUCACAUUGAUCUGGAGUCAUGUAAUUAAUAGAAGAGUGUAUCCUUUUUCUGUUAUACCAACCUUCAAUAUAUUUAAAUA